rnacentral:sRNA from 1 species
AAAACCUCGAAUCUCUCCAAUCAUUAGUCAUCGAUCAAUAUCUUCUACAGUGGAUUUUUGUAGGUACUCAUCUCCGAACAAAA